UUUUUAUUUUUAUUUUUUAUUUUUUUGGCUUUUCACCACCGCACCUGUGGCCUAUGGAAGUUCCCAAGCUGAAGGUCAAAGCAUAGCUGUACCUGCCAGCCUACAGCACAGCCACAGCGAUGCGGGAUCCAAGCUGCAUCUGCGAACUACACCAGAGCACACAGCAACACAGGAUCCUUAACCCACUGAGCGAGGCCAGGGAUCCAACCCGCAUCCUCAGGGAUAAUAGUUGGGAUCGUUACCGCUGAGCCACGACAGGAACACUGUCGUCUUCCUUUUCACCCACCGUAACCCCUGCCUAGGUCACUCUCCCCAGAGAGUCACAUGGGGUCCUCCCUCAAUUCAUUUUUAAGUCUCAUCAAAUGCCAUGUUCUCGGCAUGGCCUGCCCAGUUCACCCCAUCUAAAAUACCAUGCCUCUACUUCAUCCGCCAUCAAGUCCCUAAAUCUUUGUUGUUCUUCAUGCAGCUAUCACUACCUCAUACUGUUUGCCAUGUAUAUUAGUUUAUUUUUUUAUUCUGACUUUUCCACUAGACUAAAUUCCACCAGGGAAAAGUUAUUGUUCGUUAGAUGGAGAAGACGUGGCACAUAGUAAGUGCUCAAUAAAGUUUAUUCAAUGGAUGACUGGAGUUCCUGCUGUGGUGCAGCAGACUGAGGAUUUGCUGUUGUCUCUGCAGCAGUGCGGGUUCAAUCCCAGGACUGUUGUGGUGGGUUCUGGAUCCAGUGUUGCCUCAGCUGUGGCUCAGAUUCGAUCGCUGGCCCAGGAACUUCCAUGUGCAGCCGAAACAAAAAGGAGAGGAGGAUGAAUGGAUUUUUAUUAGGAACAACUGUAACAAUGAAUUUGAUAUACCUCUGAUGAACCAGUAUUGUCAACAGGUGAUAUUAUAAGUACCAUAAUUAAUGAAACACACAAAUAUAAAAUUGUAACUCACAAUGGUCAUUGACUUUGGAAAGUCACUUUUAGGAACAUGUUAAUGGCAUCAUCAAUUUGGGAGCCUUACAUUGCUCCAGGCUGGGUUUUGGCCACUUCUUGACCUCCUAACUCCAAACGCUCCUUAGCCAUCACGGGUAUUUCAAAGCUAUUUCACAACCGGGUCGUGGGUAACUUUAAACCAGUUCCCUCCACUGCGCUAAGUGGCAGUUUCUACAUCUGACAAGAUUAACUUUUAGAAGUUAUUCUUCUCCAUAAUUACAGACAAAUACGAUUAGGCGGUAUGAUUGCAAUUACUUGCUGUUCCUACUACUGUUUGCACAAAGAAAGGCACGUGGCCGACCAGAGAGAUGUUGUCUAUCACCAAGGCUCCAGUGGUCAGGAACGUUUCAUCGCCCCAACUGACCCAAAAAACCAGCCUACUCCUUACUGACCAAUAAAUAUUUCAUUUUCGGUUCUACCCAGGAAGCCUCUAAGUGCUGCCCAAUUUAACGAAGUGUGGCUGAAAAUAGUGAGAAAUGUUCACAGUCCGGAUGUGGAACAUUCCAGUUGUGUCCAAAGAGAGGAAGCAUCAGUCACAUUUUUGCAACUUUAAAUACCAUCAUCAUCCCCCAUGCCUCUAGCCUCUUACCUCUGCCAAGUCACCCCAAGACCGCCAACAUCUGCUCUUCAAUUUUCUCAUAAGAAACAUACUUUACAAAUACAAAGUGCUUAUUUCCCUAAAGAGCCACACGCCUUUUAAAAGCUGGUUGAAGCAGAUCAGCAAAAGAAACAACACUCUGUCGUGUGGACUUUUAAAUUUUAAAUGUCAGGCCUUUGGAGUCCCUAAAUAUUAAAAAAGCAUUUCUCAGUCACAAAAAUCAUAAAACUCAAGCGAGAGAAGACAAAAUUCAGACCAACCAACCCUUGUAUUUACAGCUAUGUAAAAACUCAGACCAACAGUGAUUUGGCCAACAUCAACGGUAAAAAAGUGUCACACCUACACACCCCCACCCACUUUCAGUGGUCUAUAUCCCCUGUAUCAUGCAAUUUAUACAAAACUCCUUUCCACUGCAACAGCUCCCAGGCUAAAAGAAUGCCUGAGGCCCUACGGGUGUGAGCAUAACGGUGGCAUCCUUGUUACAGGAGGCUAGGUGAGGACUCAGUAAAGAGACUUCUUUGGACCCCUGUGUCCUCAGCUCUGACCUGUCUUGGCUCUGAACACUUGAAAUUUUUGUUUCCGAAGUGAUGAUGGGCUGCAUUAAAUCCCAUCCUCUUUCUUUGAUGAUUCCCUGUUUAAAACCCAACAUCUAGGUGUGAGACGGGGCAGAUGCACCCAUCAGAUGUGUGACUUUGGCUUCAUCAGUAACACUCCCCACUGAUGUGCCUAAUUGUUUUGGAAUGAGCACAAUAAAAAAUGCAUGAAGAGAGAAAGAUAAACCUAAGGCUAUUUCCUAAAUACUUUGGUUAGAUGUUGUAAUUUAGAUUUUUAAAGGAGUAAUUUUUGUUGUGACCUAUUUUUUGUUACAUGAAGGAACUGUAUUAAUAAAUCUAUGGUACAAUAUAAUCUCUGUUUUUAGGCUUUUAGAGAAUGAAGAAUAAUGAACAGUUAAAAAAACAAAAGGAAAACUAAAUCUGCACUCCUUCCCCUCAAAACCCCACAAAUAGCAGCCACAAAGUAAUUUCAAAUUUCCAGAAAUGGCUAGAUUGUAUAUUAAUUGUAAUUAAAAUAACCUUUGCACAGUAAAAUGAACACUUUGUUAGUAAAAGCUUAUUUAUACUUAGAUCACAGCUAAUAAUUACUAUGAAGUAAUUAUUCAAAAAUAAAAAUAUUCAUAAAAAAAUCUAAAUACACGUCAAACCUAGACUAAAGAAAGGAACUAUGUCAAAUUUCAACAUUAAACUAACAUAACUUUCUAUGUCAACUAUAUUCUGAUAAAAUUCAUUUUUAAAAAUAAAAUCUAUUUAUUGGAGUAAACCCAUCCAUUCCUCUUGAAUGUUUCCAGAAAAACUAAAAAAAAACAAAAAGCAAAAAAAAACCAAAAACCCCAGCAAAUACGCCUGGGUGGGGGGGGGGGGGGGGGGAACCAGUCCCAUCAUUUUCUGGGUCUAUAUUUUGGUGAAGUAUUUCAGAAUCUAGCUAGGCUUGGUUCGAAAUCUUUUUAUUUCAAUAUGCUUUUGUUCAUUUAGACCCACAGGCAGAAAAAUUGAUUAGAUGAACUUUUAUCACCGAAAGCUUACAUUAAGGAUUUAAUUGCACACAACGUCUUGUUAGGCUAAGUAAAGCAACAAGAUAAAGAAUACUAUCACCCACCUUUCUAAAACUUUACUUCCUAAAGACAAAUUGCUGGUUCCUUAACUGGAAACAAAAAAGAGUAAGGAAAAGAAUUAAAGCCAAGGGGCCAAAAGAAUUAAUGGGUAGUGGACCAACUGGAAGUUGGUAUAUUUGCCUCUAGAACCCCAUAGGGUUUCCUAAUGAUGAGACUGCAGUGGUUAUGACACAAGUACAAGAGUAAGUUUGCAAGGUUACCAGAUCUGGGACCUUGUACAAUGAUAUUGUAGGAGGACAGUAUGAACAACUGCUAAGAAUAUACGAAACAGAAUAAUGGGAAUCUGCAUCUCAGUGUUUCCAGUAGUGAAAACCUUUAGGUUGCAAAGAAUGCACAGCCAAUUAAAUAAAAAUUAUGAAAAUAUUUUAAAUAAAUGAAGUACAAAAAAGUUGUAUUCAUGGAGUUCCUGUCGUGAAUAGGUGUGGGUCAAAUCCAACUAGGAACCAUGAGGUUGCAGGUUCGAUCCCUAGCCUCACUCAGUGGGUUAAGGAUCCAGCAUUGCCGUGAGCUGGUGUGUAGGUUGCAGACCCAGCUCGGAUCUGGCAUUGCUGUGCCUGUGGUGUAGGCCAGUGGCUACAGCUCCAAUGAGACCCGAGCCUAGGAAUCUCCGUAUGCUCUGGGUGCGGUCCUAGAAAAAAAGGCAAAGAAAAAAAAUACAAAGUAAAAGGUCGUAUGCUAAGUUUGAGGAAAACAGAAUACAGGUGUUGCUGGACAAAGGGGAAGAGUAGCAAUGAAAAAGGAAGGACCCACACACUUCAGGGUUCUCUCCUCCAACAAAAACAUUUGAGAUGACCCUGAGAAAGCGUGAGACAACGACAUACCGUUUACAUUGGUGUUGGCUUGUUAUAAAAGCCAACUUGUGAGAAGUCCCUUCUAAACUUGCUUUUUGAAUACAAUUUAAGUUAUAAAUAAAGAGUAAUUACUAUAAUCAAUUAAAGAGAAUUUGGAUGGAAAAAUGAUGUGAGUCCCUCCAUACAAGUAGAAACACAUUAGGAGGCUACCUACUGGGUAACAGGAUAGGUGACAGCUCAAUAAGGUCAAACUGGUUUUGAGAGGCUGUACCGAUUUACACACUGGGUAUAAGAAAUCCCAUUGAUCCACAUCUCCUCCAGUAAGUGGUGUUUUCAAGCUUCUUAAUUGUUCCCACUCAGACAACUACCAAGUAAGUACCUUUAAGGCAAGGAUUUGAUCUUGUUUCUUUUGUUUCCCCAGGACCUGGCAUAGAAUCAGAGGCUGAUAAUAUAACCUGUGAGUAAAACCGAAGGCAUCUCAGAUUUAAACCUAGAUAACCUAUGGGGGUUUCCAUUUUUAAUUUCAAAAUGUGUGCUUUUCAGUUUCUCUACCCUGUCUCUCCCGCUAUAUUGUCUUUUAAAUAGUAAAAUGUAAAAUCCCUUUACUUAUAACAAGCAUGGACACACACACACACAAAGCAAAAGACAUUCUAAAGGAUGGAAAAUUAUAUCGAAACCUAUUAUACUUAAAGAAUCCCAUAAAAUUGAAAGUCACUAUUUCUUAACUAGAGUCCAAAUCUAAUUUAGAGAAGGAAAACAUGUAAGUGCUUACUAGACACUUGAAUGAAGUGUUGAUUAUGAAUAAAUGAAUGAGUAUAGGAGAAAUGAGAAAGCUUUAUAAUUGUAAAAAUGAAAUAUUCUAUGUAUGAUAAUACAUGCUGGUUCUUCUCAUUACCAAAACUAAACUUCUAAACUUUAGCAGAAACAAUAAAUCCAAUAGUCAGCCAACAACGAAGUGUAAAAACUGAAAUUAAAACAAACCCCCCCCCAAAAAAAAAAUCACUAAGAGAUUUUAGUUAUUUUAAGUUCCACAAGCCUAUUAUGAGUUUUCAGCUAAGGCCCUAUAAUGAGUUAGAGAAGCAAGGUUACAAUUUGACCCAAUGGCUAAUUUAAAGUCUAUAAUGAUCACCUGCUUAGGAAGGAAUUCACUUACCUUGUAGAUCAUAUAACUGUCUUGUGACUCCCCCUAAGAGUUACACAAAGAAUGAUCAACUACCUGCAUUACCCAACAAAACUUUCUCCAGUUCUAAUCAAUAAUAAACGAAAAUACUGAAUGAAAGUAGAGACCAAACAUGCAAAUAAAACUAGUAGCAUUAUCAAGCCUUAAAACUUGGAACAUAAAUAUAAAAAAGGGCUUGUUAAGAAUAUAUUAAACUCUACCUGAAAUGCACUUUAUUGUGUGAAAUAAGUAUUUUUUCCAUUCUCCUAACUUCCCAUUUAAAAAGAAUAAGUUUAUGCAAAAAAACCCAAACUCUUGAAAUGUGCUUAUUGACAACACAGCUAAACAAACUUCCAAAGGGUCUUCUUCCUUAGUUCAGAACAAACGUAAACAUAAGGAUUUCAUUUACUGAAGUCAUAGUGUAACCUGGUAGUAAAUUACGGCGUUAAAUCUAGGUUAGAAGAUGCCUAUAAUGAUUAAGCUAUCUUCUCAUUUUCCUAACAAUUAGCAACACCAACUAAGUAGAAAUCAAUUGUAAUUGGAAAAGCGAGUAAGUACUAAGUGAAUUACCAAAGUCAGUUGAUAUUUAUGAGCACUGUUAGUCAAUUUUGGAAUUCUAUAUGCUGUAUUUAUUCUCUCUCUCUAUAUAUAUAUAUAAAAUGAAUUAUGUAUACUAGGUAUAUAUGUAAAUCAACUGAAUUAAUAGAGGAAUAAUUCUAAUUCUCUUAAUACCAUGAUUCUUAACUCAUCUUAAUUUACUUGCUGCAAAUUUUGCUAAAACAUAUUUUUAAAGUUAGUGACAUUUCUUCAAAAAUCUCUUACUUUUAAUUGUGUGAAAGUCAGGUAUUUUUUGUAGAUCAACUUAUAUAUUUGUGUUCUUGCAUUUAAAACUAAUUGGGUAGGGAAUUCCCGUUUGACUCAGUGGAGAAACAAAACUGACUAGUAUCCAUGAGGACAUGGGUUCAAUCCCUGGGAUGACCUUAUUUUUCUAUUGUUGAACUAGAUUGUGAAGCCUAUAAAAUGGAGCAAGUUCUCUUUAUGACUUAUUUUAACACUGACUGACCUACUGGCAUUCAGUACAUCAGCAUAAAUAAUGAAAAGGUUGAUCUUACGCACAUAGGAUUUGGCUUACCUUAGUAAUGGAUGGAAUAUGACAGUAAUAUUUCUAGCUCCUGGUUUGCAGACAAAUUUUGUUCCUCCACCUUCAAUUAAGUUGUCAUCAGGACCCCCUUUUAGAAAAAAAAUAAAUAAAAGGGAGAUUAGCUUAUUAGAACUUUUAUAAAGAAAUAAACCAAGGCUAUCAGAUGGAUGUAAUAUUGUCAUAAGGAAGACCAUCUUUGAAAACAACUGCCUUCAAUAUUUACAAAAUUACUGUGAAUGACUUCGAUAUGACAGUCUUCCCCAUAAGCAAGCUAUGGAUAAGCCUGUUUACUCUGGAGUGAGAGCAAGGAAGCACUGUAAGAAUAUUUGCAGAAGCGCCCGUUGUGGCUUAGCAGUAACAAACCUGACUACUAUCCAGGAGGAUGCGGGAUUGAUCCCUGGCCUCGUUCAGUGGGUUAAGGAUCUGGCGUUUCUGUGAACUCUGGUUUAGGUCACAGAAGCAGCUCAGAUCCUGCAUUGCUGAGGCUGUGGCAUAGGCCGGCAGCUGUAGCUCUGAUUGAAUCCCUAGCCUGGGAACGUUCAUAUGCAGUGGGUAUGGCCCUAAAAAAAAAAAAAAAAAAA
rnacentral:lncRNA from 1 species